GACGGAGGGCGCGGGUGUUAUUCGUUGUGAUUGGGUGUAAAGGGUAUGUAGGCAGCUCCCGGUGUCUCGGCCUAAAACGCAGAGUAUUCCUAUGCGACGGCCUUUUCAAAAAGAGAGCUUGAGUUGAAGAUAGGUAGGGGGAAUUUCGCAAGCCAGGGGUAAAAUCCACACAUAUGCGAACGACCGCUAGCAGGCGCAGGCGCCUUUCCAGAUUCAACUGACGCUAAGGUACGGAAGCUUAGGGAGCAAACGGG
rnacentral:misc_RNA from 1 species